AAAACCUUCAUUUCACUUUCUCAUCGUACUUUUAGAAUUGCUAUAUAUGUAUAGGUAUUCCUUAACCAUCCGCACUUGACAUCAAUUUCAUAUACCUUUAUCACUCACUUGACUCGCUUUGUGUUCGACACAUAUUUAAAGUUUAUAGAUACGUGAUCUAUGUCGUUCAUAUUCAAACUACUUAGUUUCAUAAUGAUUUAUUUUAAUCAAUAAAGCUUAACAACUUUCUUUAACAAGAUUCUAUGAUAUAAGCUUUUAAACCAUAUAUUGGUACUAAUAAGUCUCUACUAGUAUGCUUCACAUAGACAUAGCAUAGUUCAUUAUUUGAAAACGUAUUUUAAACCACACUUGAAACGUCCAAUUCAUGCUUAGCUAAAAGAUGAACAUAAUCGUUAUGUCUAUGGGCAUAAGGCGUUCAAGUUCACUUUUAAAAGUUAUUCUAGGCCAAGGUAAAGCAACUAUGUGCAACUUUAAAUCUCAUUUCAUAGCUAACUAAACCAUGUAUAUAUGUUAUCAUGUUUAGAACUUUUAGU
rnacentral:lncRNA from 1 species